GCCGGGCACGGUGGUGUACGCUUGUAAUCCCAGCAGCUCGGGAGGCUGAGGCAGGAGGAUCUUGAGUUCGGAGCCAGCCUCAGCAAAAAUGAGUCUCUAAGCAACUCAGUGAGACCCUGUCUCUA
rnacentral:sRNA from 1 species